CAAAAAAAAAAAAAAAAAAGAUAUGACUUGGGAAGUGAAAUUCUCUAAUCUGAAACUUUAUUGCAAAAAUUGUGGGCAUCUAGGAGAACUGGAGUUGUGAGCAGGUCAGAAGAGAAACUUUGCUGCUUCCUUUGUCAAUGCUGUAUGGAGAGAAAUUUGAGAUGCUUUGGAUAUUAAAAGAAAGACUGGAAGGCAGAAGAUACUGAAUUAACCACACCAAUGAAGAGCGCAUGUCUUUGCAGCUCUUCUCACCAAGAAUUGGAGUCUAUUUUCUCAACUCAUUAAAUCUGAGCUGGCUGUGUGACUUGCUUUGGCCAAAAAGACUUUAGCAAAUAAGAUAUAAGCACAAGCAGAGGUUUGAAAAGUGCUGGUUCGCUGGGGCUUACUGUAUUACUGCUCUUGAAAUGCUGAGAUGACCAUGUGAAUGAAUCCAAGGAAGCCUCCUGGAAGAUGAGAAUGCUGCAUAGAAGAAAACAGAGGUCUCCAGCUGACAGCCUGCCAAACACUAGAAAUGUGAAUGAGGCCAUUCUGGAUCAUCUUGUCACCAGCUGACCUCCCAGCUGACUAUCAGUGCAUGAGCAAACCCAGAAAAGAUGAGCUGAGCCAGUCCAGUGUAGAAGAAUUGCCCAGCCAACCCACAGAAUAAUGAGCUGAAUAAAAU
rnacentral:lncRNA from 1 species